CUGCAGAGUGUGAAAAUCUCAUCAGAUUAAGGAACACAAAGACAUCUUUUUCAUAUUUUGAAUGUAAAACUGUUUUGGAAACUGUUAUUUUUAGAAACAGUUAAAAACAUUGUUUCAUUAGUUUUUCAUGUAAAAUUGUAACAACCAGCAUGAAAUACCUGUCAUCACAGAAGCAUGGUAUAUUGGAUUCCGAAACAUAUUCUUUGUAAGUUUUAAUAUAUUUAUGUAUUAUUUAUACUUAAUUGUAACCCAUAAUGUACAGAUAUUAUUUUUCCUUCAACUCUUAAGAAUAUUCUUAAAUAAUAAAACUAAAAUUAAUGAAUUAUAAUUUUUGUUGGUUGGGAAAAAGACACACGUGACAGUGCAUCACUUCACCUCAUCACCUCAUCAUUUCAUCUCAUCAUUUCAUCUCAUCAUUUCAUCUCAUCAUUUUAUCUCAUCAUUUCAUCUUAUCCCAUCUCAUCUCAUCAUUUCAUAUCAUCUCAUCUCAUCAUUUCAUCAAAUCUCAUUUCAUGUCAUUUCCAUUUCAUUUUCAUUAUUUCAUUUCAUCAUUUCAUUUCACUAUUUCAUUUCAUUUCAUCUAAUUUCAUUUAUUUCAUUGUCAUUUCAUAUCAUCUCAUUUCAUGUCAUUUUUGAUAUCAUUUUUCAUAUCAUUUUUCAUCUCAUUUCAUCUCAAUUCAUCUCAUCAUUUCAUCUCAUCUCAUGAUUUCCUCCUUUCUUUUCAACAUUUCAUCUCAUUUCUUCUCAUCUCAUUUCAAUUUUAUUUCAUUAUUUCAUCUCAUUUCAUUAUUUCACCUAAUUUCAUUAUUUCAUCUCAUCUCAAUUCAUCUCAUCAUUUCAUCUCAUCAUUCAUCUCAUCAUUUCAUAUCAUCAUUUUAUCUCAUCUCAUCAUUUCAUCUCAUUUCAUCUCAUCUCAUUCCAUCAUUACAUCCCAUUUCAUCUCAUUUUAUGUCAUCAUUUCAUGUCAUCAUUUCAUCAAAUCUCAUCUCAUCAUUUCAUCUCAUUUCAUCAUUUCAUCUCAUUUCAACUCAUUGCAUCUCAUCUCAUCAUUUCCGUUUCAUUAUUCCAUUUCAUCAUUUCAUUCAUUAUGUCAUUUCAUCUCAUCAUAUUUCAUCUCAUCUCAUCAUUUCAUCUCAUUUUAUCUCAUCUCAUCAUUUCAUCAUUUCAUCUCAUUUCUUCUCAUCUCAUCAUUUCCAUUUCAUUUUCAUUAUUUCAUUUCAUCUCACCAUUUCAUCUCGUUUCAUCUCAUCAUUUCAUCCAUCAUCUCAUCAUUUCAUCUCAUUUUAUCUCAUCUCCUCUCCUUUCAAUUUCUUUUCAAUUUUGUCAUUUCGUCUCAUCAUUUCAUCUCAUCAUUUCUACUCACCAUUUCAUCUCAAAAUUUCAUCUCAUCAUCUCAUCUCAUCGCAUCAUUUCGUCAUUUCAUCUCAUCAUUUCAUCUCAAGUCAUCUUAUCAUUUCAUCUAAGUGAAAUGAUGUAAUGGAAUCAUGAAAUGAAAUGGAUAAGAUGCCUUCAGUGAUGUUAA
rnacentral:lncRNA from 1 species